UAACGCGAAGAACCUUACCAGGUCUUGACAUCUUUUGAUAGCCUAAGAGAUUAGGUGUUCCCUUCGGGGACAGAAUGACAGGUGGUGCAUGGUUGUCGUCAGCUCGUGUCGUGAAAUGUUGGGUUAAGUCCCGCAACGAGCGCAACCCUUAUUGUCAGUUGCCAGCAUUAAGUUGGGCACUCUGGCAAGACUGCCGGUGACAAACCGGAGGAAGGUGGGGAUGACGUCAAAUCAUCAUGCCCCUUAUGACCUGGGCAACACACGUGCUACAAUGGCGUAUACAACGAGAUGCCAGCCCGCGAGGGUGAGCUAAUCUCUGAAAGUCGUUCUCAGUUCGGAUUGCAGGCUGCAACUCGCCUGCAUGAAGUCGGAAUCGCUAGUAAUCGCGGAUCAGC
rnacentral:rRNA from 1 species